AAUGCAAAGUGAUUGUUUUGUUACAAGUAGUAAACACUGCACAAAUCCAUUUCAAAUAUUGAGUAGUUUCUCGCAUUUUCUUUUUUAUAUUAUACAUGUAUGGGUUGUAUUGUGUUUUGUUUUCACUGUUUCUUUUGGUCAUAUUUGAUAGGGAGAGCCAGCCGUUGAGGUUACAAAUGAAGGUGUUGAUGCUGCAGGGCAUACAAUUGGUACAUCUUUGGAAGUCGUGUUCAAACUUAGGAAGGUUCUCAACCCCAAGAGUGUGAUCAAACCAACAUCACUAGCUAAAGAUUAUUUUGAGAAUAACAUCUAUCGAAUAAAUUUCAGACGAAAGACCUUGGUAAACUCCUAUAUUUUUUGGGUAUUGAGGUAGUCCAAUCUAAAGAUGAUAUGGUAAUUUCUCCGGGGAAAUAUGCUAUGGAUACUUUUGAAGAAACAAGUUUGUAGAUAAUGCAUUCAUAGAAAGUAAG